rnacentral:rRNA from 2 species
UAGUACGGCGAGUGAAGCGGGAAGAGCUCAAGCUUAAAAUCUCCGUGCAAGUUUUGCGCGGCGAAUUGUAGUCUAUAGAGGCGUGGUCAGCGUGGGCGCUUGGGGCAAGUUCCUUGGAAGAGGACAGCAUGGAGGGUGAUACUCCCGUUCAUCCCUGAGUGGCUCGUGCGUACGACCCGUGUUCUUUGAGUCGCGUUGUUUGGGAAUGCAGCGCAAAGUAGGUGGUAAAUUCCAUCUAAAGCUAAAUAUUGGUGCGAGACCGAUAGCGAACAAGUACCGUGAGGGAAAGAUGAAAAGAACUUUGAAAAGAGAGUUAAAGAGUACCUGAAACUGCUGAAAGGGAACCGAAUCGUUUCCAGUGUCUAUAAUCCGUGGCAUAUUUCAUUGGCGAGUGUGCGCGUGCGUGUGCUGUGGCAGUGGCUUUUUUGGCUGCGCUCGGUGUGUGUGCUGUGUGUGCUUGCUGGUGCCCUGUGCUGCGGUGGGACGUCAAGGUCAGUUCGUAUGCUGCGGGAAAUGGCUGCCGAGGAGGUAGGGCUUACGCUCCGCGUUUGUCUGUUAUAUCUUGGUGGACGAGUCGUCGCGGUUGGGACUGAGGUGCCUACAACGUGCUUUUGAGUGGGUUUGUGUCUCCGUGUGCGCCGUGUGCGGAUAGCUUGCUAUGCGUGUGUGGUUGUGUGUGGAUUGAUGCGGGCUUUAACUUGUCGCCGUUC